AUUUGAUGGUGUGGGCAACUUGCACAAAUCUUCUUGAAACGCUCCCAAUAUUCAUACAAUGACUCUCCAUUGUUUGGCCUUACACCACAGAUUUCCUUUCUAAUGUU
rfam:Ipomoea nil DNA, scaffold: scaffold0761, cultivar: Tokyo-kokei standard.